rnacentral:lncRNA from 1 species
CUUGGGACUUGUUUGGUUUGGGAUGGGAUGGGUUUGGAAUGGGAUGGAUUUGGGAUGGGAUGGAUUUGGGAUGGGAUGGAUUUGGGAUGGGAUGGAUUUGGGAUGGGAUGGAUUUGGGAUGGGAUGGGAUGGUUUGGGAUGUGUUUGGUUUGGUUUGGGAUGGGAUGGAUUUGGGAUGGGAUGGGUUUGGGAUGGGAUGGGUUUGGGAUGGGGAUGGCAUGAAUUUGGGAUGUGUUUCGUUUGGGAUGGGAUGGAUUUGGGAUGUGCUUGGUUUGGGAUGGGGAUGGGAUGGAUUUGGGACGUGUUUGGUUUGGGAUGUGUUUGGUUUGGUUUGGGACGUGUCUGGUUUGGGAUGGGUUGGUGACACGUCCCGUCCCAGCUGUGCCCGCGUGGGCGCUGGGUGCAGCCCCGUCCCGGCCCCCGCCCGGCGCAGCAGGAAUCCCCAGCGCCGCGUUCCUGGCCGGGGCGGCGGCGUGGC